UAGGGAAUCUUCCACAAUGGACGCAAGUCUGAUGGAGCAACGCCGCGUGAGUGAAGAAGGUUUUCGGACCGUAAAGCUCUGUUGUUGGUGAAGAAGGAUAGAGGUAGUAACUGGCCUUUAUUUGACGGUAAUCAACCAGAAAGUCACGGCUAACUACGUGCCAGCAGCCGCGGUAAUACGUAGGUGGCAAGCGUUGUCCGGAUUUAUUGGGCGUAAAGCGAGCGCAGGCGGAAGAAUAAGUCUGAUGUGAAAGCCCUCGGCUUAACCGAGGAAUUGCAUCGGAAACUGUUUUUCUUGAGUGCAGAAGAGGAGAGUAGAACUCCAUGUGUAGCGGUGGAUGCGUAGAUAUAUGGAAGAAUACCAGUGGCGAAGGCGGCUCUCUGGUCUGCAACUGACGCUGAGGCUCGAAAGCAUGGGUAGCGAACAGGAUUAGAUACCCUGGUAGUCCAUGCCGUAAACGAUGAGUGCUAAGUGUUGGGAGGCUUCCGCCUCUCAGUGCUGCAGCUAACGCAUUAAGCACUCCGCCUGGGGGAGUACGACCGCAAGGUUGAAAC
rnacentral:rRNA from 1 species